UACGAAGGGGGCUAGCGUUGCUCGGAAUCACUGGGCGUAAAGGGUGCGUAGGCGGGUCUUUAAGUCAGGGGUGAAAUCCUGGAGCUCAACUCCAGAACUGCCUUUGAUACUGAGGAUCUUGAGUUCGGGAGAGGUGAGUGGAACUGCGAGUGUAGAGGUGAAAUUUGUAGAUAUUCGCAAGAACACCAGUGGCGAAGGCGGCUCACUGGCCCGAUACUGACGCUGAGGCACGAAAGCGUGGGGAGCAAACAGGG
rnacentral:rRNA from 1 species